rnacentral:rRNA from 1 species
CCUACGGGAGGCAGCAGUGGGGAAUCUUGGGCAAUGGGCGCAAGCCUGACCCAGCAACGCCGCGUGAAGGAAUAAGGCUUUCGGGUUGUAAACUUCUUUUCUCAGGGACGAAGCAAGUGACGGUACCUGUGGAAUAAGCCACGGCUAACGACGUUCCAGCAGCCGCGGUAAUACGUAGGUUGCAAGCGUUAUCCGGAUUUACUGGGCGUAAAGGGCGUGUAGGCGGGACUGCAAGUCAGAUGUGAAAACCAUGGGCUCAACCUAUGGCCUGCAUUUGAAACUGUAGUUCUUGAGUACUGGAGAGGCAGACGGAAUGCCUAGUGUAGCGGUGAAAUGCGUAGAUAUUAGGAGGAACACCAGUGGCGAAGGCGGUUUGCUGGACAGCAACUGACGCUGAGGCGCGAAAGCGUGGGGAGCAAACAGGAUUAGAUACCCUUGUAGUC